CUGCUGUGUUCCAGGGGAGCGCUGUGAGCGCCUGCUCUGCCGAGGCACCUGCCUGCACGGCGGCCGCUGCGUCCUCCUGGACAGCCGCUCGGCCUGCUUCUGCCGUCGCGGCUUCGCGGGGUCCCGGUGCCAGGCGCCCGUGCGGACCGUCAAGUACCCCGCGCCGACGCCGACAGCUCCAUCACCCGCUGCCACGACGGACCGUCGGGACACGCCAAACGGUUGAUGCUCGCUGCCGCGCCAUACUCGUUGAACGAGUAACGUCUUUGCUCUAGGGGCGAUGCUGAAGAGACGCUAUGCUCUUGCGAAUCUUCUAUUACUGUCGCCAAUGACGAGCCCCGCGCGCUCCGGCCCCACUGGCGCCGUGCAAAAGGCAACCCGGCAGUGCUCCAGCGUGCCGAAAGGUGCGCGACGUGCUUCUACCGUCCCACCCGAUGCACUGGAAAGAGAGCUGCGUUCACUUCUGGAUUAAUUUCUUCUUGACAAUUUUAAAUGGGGUUGAAUGUGUAAAUUUCGCCAUUAAAAUGACCAGUGUAUAUAUACUAGUAUGAAAGACCAUCUAAGAACUGUAUAAAGUGUAGAAAUCAUUUUAAAUUAUUUUAUAGACAAUAAAUGUAUGAUAAGUAAGUUA